rnacentral:lncRNA from 1 species
CACGCUUUCCGGGUGGUGGUGUGCAACAACCGCCACUUGGACCUCCAACAAUGAGAACUCCAGCUCCACCUGCUCAGUCUCCAUUUAACAUGGCACCACCUGCUCAGUCUCCGUUUAACAUGGCACCACCUGCUCAGUCUCCGUUUAACAUGGCACCACCUCAGGGAAUAAUGCAGCCUCCUAGUUCACCUUUUGGAGCACCUUCUUGGCAGACUCAACAACAACAACAGGUACCUAUUAUCUAUAUUUGAACUUAUUGCAUUUGGAUGUAUUUUUUUAAUCUAAAUUUUUGCUCUCACAUUCUGUUGAAUGAGUUGGCAAAAGUAAUACAACCUACUCUGUUACAUACCAGUAUGCAUGAUUAGACUUUUUUCAGCAUGUUUUAAAGAAAAAAUAUUUGGUGGCUG